rnacentral:rRNA from 1 species
CAGUCGUACCGGCGGGAAAUCAACCUUUCGAGUGGGUUUUUGGAGUUUUGAAGUGUGUCAAAACCUUCGAGAUUUCAAAAUUUUCGCUCUUUUGGUGUACUUUCUCGUAGGUAGGUUAACAUCGAUUUUGAACAUCAUAAAAAGAUCGGAGGAAUGUAGCUUCGAUCUCGUAUUGAAGUGUUAUAGCCUUUGGUAGAUGUGAUGUUUGAGACCGAGGAUUGCAACGGAUACCCUUCAGGGCUAUUCGUCUGAUCUCUGAUACGUUGCCUUGAUGUUGAAAGCUUGCUUAUGAUGUUAGGGUAUUACGGUCAAAAGGUUAGAACGAAUUACA